GAUGAAGAACGUAGCGAAAUGCGAUAAGUAAUGUGAAUUGCAGAAUUCAGUGAAUCAUCGAAUCUUUGAACGCACAUUGCGGCCAUAGGUAUUCCUUUGGCCAUGCCUGUUCGAGCGUCAUUUACACCCUCAAGCCUAGCUUGGUGUUGGGCGCCUGUCCCGCCGUUUUCGCGCGCGGACUCGCCUCAAAGUCAUUGGCGGCGGUCGUGCCGGCCCCCUCGCGCAGCACAUUUGCGCUUCUCGGAGGCCCGGCGGAUCCGCGCUCCAGCAAGACCUUUCACGACUUGACCUCGGAUCAGGUAGGGAUACCCGCUGAACUUAAGCAUAUCAAUAAGCGAGGA
rnacentral:misc_RNA from 1 species